rnacentral:rRNA from 1 species
GGUCAGGAUGAACGCUAGCGACAGGCCUAACACAUGCAAGUCGAGGGGCAGCACAAGGAGCAAUCUGAGGUGGCGACCGGCGCACGGGUGAGUAACACGUAUGCAACCUGCCUGUAAGCGGGGAAUAACCCGUUGAAAGACGGACUAAUACCGCAUAAUACUAAAUUACUGCAUGGUAAUUUAUUUAAACAUUUAUGGCUUACAGAUGGGCAUGCGCAUGAUUAGCUAGUUGGAGAGGUAACGGCUCCCCAAGGCAACGAUCAUUAGGGGUUCUGAGAGGAAGGUCCCCCACACUGGUACUGAGACACGGACCAGACUCCUACGGGAGGCAGCAGUGAGGAAUAUUGGUCAAUGGACGAGAGUCUGAACCAGCCAAGUCGCGUGCAGGAAGAAUGUCCCUAUGGAUUGUAAACUGCUUUUGCAGGGGAAUAAAGUGCAUCACGUGUGAUGUUUUGUAUGUACUCUGCGAAUAAGGAUCGGCUAACUCCGUGCCAGCCGCCGC